rnacentral:rRNA from 1 species
CGGCCGGCAGGGGUUAAGUCCACUGGAAAGUGGCGCCACAGAGGGUGACAGCCCCGUGAACCCCUUUAAAGCCCUCAUCCCAGAUCUCCAAGAGUCGAGUUGUUUGGGAAUGCAGCUCUAAGUGGGUGGUAAAUUCCAUCUAAAGCUAAAUACCGGCGAGAGACCGAUAGCGAACAAGUACAGUGAUGGAAAGAUGAAAAGCACUUUGAAAAGAGAGUGAAAAAGUACGUGAAAUUGUUGAAAGGGAAGGGCUUGCAAGCAGACACUUAACUGGGCCAGCAUCGGGGCGGCGGGGAGCAAAACCACCGGGGAAUGUACCUUUCGAGGAUUAUAACCCCGGUCCUUACUCCCUCACCAUCCCGAGGCCUGCAAUCUAAGGAUGCUGGCGUAAUGGUUGCAAGUCGCCCGUCUUGAAACACGG